GAGCGGCGGACGGGUGAGUAACGCGUGGGAAAUUGCCCAGUAGUGGGGGACAACAGCCGGAAACGGUUGCUAAUACCGCAUACGCCCUACGGGGGAAAGCGGGGGAUCUUCGGACCUCGUGCUAUUGGAUAUGCCCGCGUCGGAUUAGCUUGUUGGUGAGGUAACGGCUCACCAAGGCGACGAUCCGUAGCUGGUCUGAGAGGAUGAUCAGCCACACUGGGACUGAGACACGGCCCAGACUCCUACGGGAGGCAGCAGUGGGGAAUAUUGCACAAUGGGGGAAACCCUGAUGCAGCCAUGCCGCGUGUGUGAAGAAGGCCUUCGGGUUGUAAAGCACUUUCAGCAGGGAGGAAGGCUUGUAGAUUAAUACUCUGCAAGAUUGACGUUACCUGCAGAAGAAGCACCGGCUAACUCCGUG
rnacentral:rRNA from 1 species